AGCUGCAAAGCUGUCAAAAUAGCAGAACAGUGGCCUGGAACUCUGCCCUCCAGAGGUCCAGGGCAUGUGGGCAGACUCACAGAAACAGAUGGCUAGACAUGGAAGAAAGACUAGAUUUUGAUUUUUUGCUUUAUGAAUUCAGCAAAUUGGGCACAGCAGCAAUAGUCAGAUUCUAUCUGGUUCACUCCCAGCAAACCAGACUCUUGUGGAUCUGCAAGGCUUCACGUGGCUCCAUUUCUUUUCCAAGAUGAUCUCACCUUGCAAAUGGGGUUUCAUCCUGAUCAGGAUGCCUGAGGCUUUGCAAGGGAGAGUAUUAUGCUGGUUGGCCUGUCGGAGUCUCCAUGAUGCAUCCCCACCACCCACCCCUCCAGUUCUCAGGCCUGCAAUGCUUUUCCUGCAUUUCUUCACCUGGACAGCUUUCAACAUUCCUCAAGGCUCAGCUGAGUAAUCACUUCCUCCAGGAUGCCUUCCCUGAGUCCAU